ACAUAUCAGAAUUGUGCGAGCACUGCACAAUCUCUCGGGUUGAUUGGUCGCAGUUAUCGUUGCAUUUUGUCGAAGACGAGUGCCUCAUUGUGGAUGACCGGAUGGCAAAUCUGUUCAGACAUGUCGCGAUCCAAUUCCAAGGUACGUACGCGUGAGGCUAUAGGUAUACAGAGAUCGAUCAACGGUAGGAUGAUACUUUGACAGUGAUAUGAGCUUACUUUGGUGUUGGUUCUGUGAGCUCAAGGAGUAGUAUGAGCUAGCUCCUCUGCCUUUUGUGUUCGGCAGUAGCUUGUGAUGAAAAUGAACAAGUGUAACAUAAGAGGAGGAUUCGUAGUAACGCUGUUCUUGUCAAUAUGAACUCCUGUAAGUUGGUUCAGUAGUCAAGAAACUGAUGUUAGGUACGUAUGAGACAGGCACCCCACAAUUGGGUUCUUGUUAUAUCCAUGAUGAUGAUUAUCCUCUCUGGCAGGGGGUUGACUUGGCCAGGAAAAAUGUUCGGUACUUAGUACUCCCUCCGUCCGGAAAUAUUUGUUGAAGAAAUGGAUGCACGGCAAAUAUUUUCGGAUCGGAGGAAGUACAUUUCUUUCUCUGUGCAUGUGUUUGGUUGCUUGCCAGCGACUCCAAAAAGAGAGUCCUAUUGAAAAAGAAAUUAUUCAAAAUAGAAAGAAGUUUCUUUUUCUUCAAAUUCAAUUGUGUAUUUAUCUCUUAUUCAAAAAUUUCCCUGGAAACCGAAUUUCAUUUUUUCAUUCAAUGGGGUUAGAUGAUCUAGUUCUUAAUAUUAUUACUUUACUCAAUUGACAAACCUCUGAUAGAGCAAACUAACACUAGUUACCAAUUCUCUUAUGAACCUCUAUACUCGGAUUCAUUAACACUCCAUCAUAUAUUGACCAUCGUUAGAUGUCAACAUUGGAUAUAUAAGAUGGUUAUAUCUCUUAAUCCCUUCAUUUUUAUUUACUCCAUAUAAUAGCAUUGUCUGAAGUCAAAUUUUAUAUACUUUGAUCAAGUUUAUGGAAACAAUAUUAACAUUUGUAGUAUACCAAAUUCAACAUCGAAUACAGUAUAUAAGAUGACCGUAUCCCGUCUGAGGAAAAAAAAGAAGCAACCCACAACGUGUGGAGUGGUUAUCCAAGUCCGAGCAGCACCUAUUAUGAAGUAUAAUUCCAUAUUUCAGGGUAAGAGAUUGCUGACCUGGUGGUAGGCUACUCGCCAAACAAGGUUAUAAACACGUUUGUUCUACCUUACGCACGCGGUGUGGUACUAAACGUACAGCAGAACCGGGACUCGGUGUGGAGAUCACUUUUUGUUUUUUGAGAAAGACUCGGAGACACUCCUACCCGCGAGUUUGAGGCCAGGCCCGUCCGGUAAAGCGAUGCCUUCGGGCUCCGGCUUCAUCGCCCAGUGGCCCAGUCAUCAUCAUCCUUCGCGUUUAUAAUGUUCAAAAUUACGGGAAACCGAGAGCGCUAUAGGGUUCAAAAUUACAGGCAUACAAACCAAGAAGACGCGGCAAAAGUGAAAAGAAACAUCCUGAGUGACCUCACACCACAGCGACAGGAAAACAUCAAGGGAGGUACCUCUCCACACAGCAGCAGAAGCAACACCUGAUGGGAUUUGAAGCUUGCAGCAUGACGGGAGGCUUCUCGCGCACCAGCACGUCGUUGCCGGUGAGAGCUUGUUGGUGGCCAUGGCGGCCGGCCCCACCCUCACCCCCUGCGUCGCAGGGCGCAUACUCCCCCGCCCAUUUGCCUCACCACCGACGGCCACAAAAAAACUUAUGGAGGAUUAGAGCCCGUCGCAAAUGGAGGUAGAAAGAAAGGGGGGAAAAGAUAGGCGAGGAAAAGGAUCGGAGGGGGGGUUGUGCUGGACCCACCACGUACUUGCGUUGCGUGCGGGGGGAUGGAAUCGUGGCAAGCAAGCCGGCCGAAAGUUCGGCCGACUGACUAGCUACAAGUGUUUACCAAUUUUUUUAAGUCUUCAAAAUCAAUUGAGGUCUUCUAUUUGAAAUUGAGCCACUCAAUUUUGACUAGAUCAAUAAUAUUUAAUACACGAUGCUUCUUAAUUUUAGAGCCCCCCAUUAAAUUGAGGUGUUACAUUUGAAUUUGGUUUAUGAUUUUGAUCGGACCAACAAUUUCUCAAGGAGCUAUCUCAUUCAAUUAAUGUAAUCAAUUUUAGAUUUGAUUCACGGUUUGUACUGGGUCAGCGAUUCCUCAAUUAAUCAGAAGCAACAAACGUAAAAACACAUCAGUCCCGCAUAUCCUCGCAUUACCUAGAAAAUUAAAGAGUCAACAUGUGACACUGUAGUUUUAAUGUAAUACAUGCGGCUACCAACGUAAGAAACUUUCAUAUAUAAAUAUUAGUUGAUUAGUAGAUAAACCAUAAUCACACUGCCAAGAAAAGCCCACUAGAACACUGCAUUAUAAACACACACACACACACACCAUCUUCCGCACAUGUCAAAUCAAAUAACAAACAAAAAUUAUGAAAUCCCAAGAACACUAACGGCGCGGCAAAGCGCGCUCAACCUUUCUAGUAACUAGAGAAUACCUUGCGCGUUGCUGCAGGAAUCGAUUGCAAUAUAUUUCAAUGAUUUGAUUGUAUGAAGCUUCCAUUGUUGAUUUAAUAAUAUAUGAACUAAAGCUAAAUAUAAAUAUUAUCUAUUGUAUUUAAUUCUGUGUAGUUAGAAAAUAUUUUGAAUAUAAGUGGCAUAACAUAUGGAAAACUUUUUUCAUGCAUGUUGAGUGGACCUUUUAUGAGGUGGCAUGUGUAAUGAGGUGAAAGGUGUGCAUGAGAUGAAAUAACAAUGGUAAACUUUUUCUCAUGCAUGUAGUGGUGGGCCUUUGAUGAGGUGACAUGUGUGCAUAUUGAGAUAAAUAGGAUAGUUGGGAUCAACUUCUUAUGUAUAUAGGAUAUGGUUAUAUCUCGUUCAUUCCCUUCAUUUUUAUUUACUCCACAUAUUAGCUUUAUCUGAAGUCAAACUUUAUAUGCUUUGAUCAAGUUUAUAGAAAAACUAUUUAACAUGUAGUACACCAAAUCAACAUCGACGAUAUAAGAUGACCAUAUCCCGUCCAAGGAAAAUACCAAAUCAACAUCGAAUACAGUAUAUAAGAUGACCGUAUCCCGUCUGAGAAAAAAAAAA
rnacentral:lncRNA from 1 species